UGAUCGAAGGAUUUCGUUUUCGCAUCCAU
rnacentral:sRNA from 1 species